rnacentral:lncRNA from 1 species
AUAAAUACAAAUUCACCAGUUUACAAACAGAAAAACUAUCUGAUCCAAACAGUGUUUUUUAUCUUAAUAGAAAAAUAACAGCAAAUUUAAAGCAGGCAGAGAAGAAACUAGAGAAAAAAGAGGACUCAGGAACUCUACAGUUUGCAGGUCAACCUCAGGGCUCCUUUUUUUUUAAUGUAAAUGUGCAGAAAGACCAUAUUACUUCCACUUUACAUAAACUCUGGCAAGUAGAGGCGCCAUGAACCCUAUGGAGUACUCGGCUGGGAGGAGCAAACGCCCUUUCUCUUUGGAGCUGAGAAAACUCAAUCUCUCAUUUACCUAUGACAACAACAGUUCAGUUCCUCAUGCAAAUACAUAGACAACCCAAACUGAGAUUCAUUUUGGGAGAAAAAGCAAUAGAGAAGACCCUUUAGGAUGCAUCUCUGAACUAGAAUUAGGAUCCUUAAAUCACAGCUUCCUAGAAGAGAAAAAAAAAAAAACAAAAAAACAGCCAAGACCAUUCCCUGUAAACUGUGCUCAGCCACCCCUUCUUUGUAGUUCUCGUCUGCCAUUACACACGCCAAGGUCAAAUCCUCUCACAGUGCAGGGUCAUCUCUGGUUCCCCCAAAGCCAAAGAGGUCAGGUCAUGCCGUACAGGAAGACAGCAGAGCUUUAGACCUAAGAAGAAUCCGCCCAUCACUCUUGAAACUCCACAAAGAAAACAGAGCACCCUGGAAGGGGUGAGUGGCCCCUUUGUUCCGGAUCCUUUAAAGGGGCUCGAGUCAUUGGAAGCCUUCUCUAGAUUUUUUUGGUCCCGCAGAUGGCAAAGGCAGGAGGAGGUAUAGGGAGGAAGAAAAGUAAGUGAAAGAGCAUUUGUUGUUUUUGUUUGUUUGUUUUUUAAGACAGAAAGCAAACACAGAAACCAAGCACGUGAUUUGUUGUUUUCGUUUAGUUUUUUCCUCUUUUGCAGCUGCAAGGAAUUUUAGCCAAAUUAGAGAGGCUUUGUUACCCAUAAUUUGGAAUUCUCACUUGGAUUUGACCAAGUCAGGUAGAGUUGGUCAAAUCUGAUGAGAGAAAGACCAGAAAAAACAACAACAACAAAAGUCAAAUGAUAUGACCACAGACUGCUCUAAUGGGAAGAAGAAAUUCAGACCAGCUGGUUGUUAACCUUCAGCCAAGACAAAACCUCAGUUCAGCUACUUACCUAGGGAUGGGUCUCAGGCUGAAGACUGCUCUCUACCAUCCUUGAAGCAGGAAAAAAACUCGAACUUGUCUUCCCUGCUGGGAGCAAGCUCAAACUCCAUAAAAGAGUUGUCAGCCUUCCAUCAUCACGGACCCAGGAAAUCUUGCCUUCCUUCUUGGAAGCAAAUAAAACUCCAAAAGAAGGAGAGGGGGAGUUGUACAUCAAAUAAACUUUAGAUCACGACCAAGUUUUGAGAGAUCAGGGACUCUAUGGAGGGGGUGCUCCCAGACCUCAGCAAAUUGUCCUGUUGGUUUGAGCCAUAAGGUUAGCUCAUGGUGCUACCAAGCACCAAUAGAUCUGUCAAAGGUCAGGGGUACCUCAACUCAGAAUCCCUCCAUGGUUACCAAAAUGUGAACCCCCCAAAUCUGAGACAGGUCUCAGUUAAUUUAGAAAGUUUAUUGUUCCAAGGUUGAAGAUGCACACCCGUGACACAGCCUCAGGAUGUCCUGACGACAUGUGCCAAGGUGGUCAUACGUUUUAGGGAGACAUGAGACAUCAAUCAACACAUGUAAGAUGAACAUUGGUUCAGUCUGGAAAAGGCCGGGCAACGCCAAGCAAAUGUGGGACAACUCGCAGCCAGGAGAAAGCUUCCAGGUCACAGUAUUUUUGACUUACCACGUGUUUAUUGGGACGUAACCCCUUCCUAAGAUGAAGAGCAUCUGUAUACAUCCAGAAUCCUGUGGAGCAACUCAUAACCCAUGAGGAAUGGAAGCCGACAGACAGACUCAUCCCCAGGACAGGUGGUUCUCACUACAUCUCAUAAAGCUUCUUAGAAGAUCUUACAGGAUUGAGCAACCAGCCAGCCACAGCAGGGGCCAACUGGAUAACACGUCUUUGCAUAGGCUCUCCCUCUGUCCCUGUCACCCUCCCCUUUUCCUAACCUUGUUCCUUGGGAUUAUGUUUUGAAAUAAAUUAUUCAGAGAAAUGAAGCCAAAGCUGACCCAUUAGCCAAUAGCUAGGUUCUGUGAUGACAGAGCUUCUGGGCUAUAAUCGUUUACUGAGAAGCCAGCGUUCCUGAGGGGAUAAUGGCUCGUUCCAUUCAGCUGCAGCAUAGGAGUGAGGGCAGGGCAUUAGCAGAAGAUAACACCAGAAACGUGCUCUGGGGCCUGUUGAUGACUUUCUGUGCCAAGCACAGACAUUUAGCCUUUAUUCUGUAUGUGAUGGGAAGCCAGUGCCAGUGGUGGGUUUGAGCAGGGAACCAGCAACCAGUGGUGGGUUUGAGCAGGGAACCAGCAAUACUCAAGCUCUGCUUGGAUGGAGGCCAGUCAGGGAGGAGUUAGGGCAGGAGGACCAGUCAGGGAGGAGACUUAGGGCAGGAGGACCAGUCAGGGAGGAGACUUAGGGCAGGAGGACCGGUCAGGGAGGAGACUUAGGGCAGGAGUACUGGUCAGGGAGGAGACUUAGGGCAGGAGGACCGGUCAGGGAGGAGACUUAGGGCAGGAGGACCGGUCAGGGAGGAGACUUAGGGCAGGAGGACCGGUCAGGGAGGAGUUAGGGCUGGAGGACGGGUCAGGGAGGAGACUUAGGGCAGGAGGACCGGUCAGGGAGGAGUUAGGGCUGGAGGACCGGUCAGGGAGGAGUUAGGGCAGGAGGACUGGUCAGGGAGGAGACUUAGGGCAGGAGGACCGGUCAGGGAGGAGACUUAGGGCAGGAGGACCGGUCAGGGAGGAGACUUAGGGCAGGAGGACUGGUCAGGGAGGAGACUUAGGGCAGGAGGACAGGUCAGGGAGGAGUUAGGGCUGGAGGACGGGUCAGGGAGGAGUUAGGGCUGGAGGACCGGUCAGGGAGGAGUUAGGGCAGGAGGACAGGUCAGGGAGGAGUUAGGGGAGGAGGACCGGUCAGGGAGGAGUUAGGGCAGGGGGAUUGGUCAGGGAGGAGUUAGGGCAGGGGGAUUGGUCAGGGAGGAGUUAGGGCAGGAGGACCGGUCAGGGAGGAGUUAGGGCAGGAGGACCGGUCAGGGAGGAGACUUAGGGCAGGAGGACUGGUCAGGGAGGAGUUAGGGCAGGAGGACCGGUCAGGGAGGAGUUAGGGCAGGAGGACCGGUCAGGGAGGAGACUUAGGGCAGGGGGAUUCGUCAGGGAGGAGUUAGGGCAGGAGGACCGGUCAGGGAGGAGUUAGGGCAGGAGGACUGGUCAGGGAGGAGUUAGGGCAGGAGGACAGGUCAGGGAGGAGACUUAGGGCAGGAGGACCGGUCAGGGAGGAGACUUAGGGCAGGAGGACUGGUCAGGGAGGAGUUAGGGCAGGAGGACCGGUCAGGGAGGAGUUAGGGCAGUAGGACCGGUCAGGGAGGAGUUAGGGCUGGAGGACUGGUCAGGGAGGAGUUAGGGCUGGAGGACAGGUCAGGGAGGAGUUAGGGCAGGAGGACGGGUCAGGGAGGAGUUAGGGGAGGAGGACUGGUCAGGGAGGAGUUAGGGCUGGAGGACCGGUCAGGGAGGAGUUAGGGCAGGAGGACCGGUCAGGGAGGAGUUAGGGCUGGAGGACCGGUCAGGGAGGAGUUAGGGCAGGAGGACCGGUCAGGGAGGAGUUAGGGCAGGAGGACCGGUCAGGGAGGAGACUUAGGGCAGGAGGACUGGUCAGGGAGGAGUUAGGGCUGGAGGACCGGUCAGGGAGGAGUUAGGGCAGGAGGACUGGUCAGGGAGGAGUUAGGGCAGGAGGACAGGUCAGGGAGGAGUUAGGGCAGGAGGAUCGGUCAGGGAGGAGUUAGGGCAGGAGGACCGGUCAGGGAGGAGUUAGGGCAGGAGGACCGGUCAGGGAGGAGUUAGGGCAGGAGGACAGGUCAGGGAGGAGACUUAGGGCUGGAGGACUGGUCAGGGAGGAGUUAGGGCAGGAGGACCAGUUAGGAGGCAGUGACUUAGGACUUCAGCAGUGGCACUAGAAAGGGGAUGGAUAUGAACGACAUUGCAAAGUAAAACUAGAGAGACGGCCGGGCACAGUGGCUCACUCCUGUAAUCCCAGCACUUUGGGAGGCCAAGGCGGGUGGAUCAUGAGGUCAGGAGAUCGAGACCAGCCUGGCCAACAUGGUGAAACCCUAUCUCUACUAGAAAAAAAAAAAAAUAGCCAGGCGUGGUGGCGGGCGCCUGUAAUCCCAGCUACUCCAGAGGCUGAGGCAGGAGAAUUUGCUUGAACCAGGGAGUCGGAAGUUGCAGUGAGCUGAGAUCGCACCACUGCACUCCAGCCUGGGCAAUAGAGUGAGACUCCGUCUCAAUAACAAAACAAACAAACAAAAACCUAGAGAGACUUGGCACCUUGCAGAGAGAAGCAAAAGAUGACCCUGAGGUCUGGAGUCCAGGAAGCCAAGGACAGCAAAAGCAUCCACAGAAACAGGAAAAGGGCAGGUGUGGGAGGGAAGGUGAGAGGUUCAUCAGACCUCACAGCCCCUGGCAGCGCCUCCUGGAUCUUUGAAAUCCUGUGCACCCCAGGAGACUCCGGGAGGCCCAUCUGAGCUCACCGGAGACAGGUCUGCCGUCUCUCCUCUCAUCACUGGGGACAGAAAGCCUGAACAUGAGGCCUGGACUACGGGGCUCAGACCAGAAUAUUUCCAGACUUAAGGGCAGUAAUGUGGAGCCCAGGAAGGAAUAUUGAGGACAGAGGGCACAUUACUUAGCUCAAGGGGUGCUGGGUUCUUAUUUUCUACUUUCAAGAAAUGUUUGCUAUAGUCACUGUAACCACCACAAAACAGUGAAUAAUACCAUGAGCCAAAUGUAUGUUUCACAAUUUGUAUGGCUGAUUCUACGCACAUUUAAAUGUGUUUAUGACAAUUGUAGAUUUCGGUUUUCCUCUGG